UGUUUCUUUUUCAUUUCCUCUUCCAGUUGCUGCUUCACUUUCGUUUAUUUCUUACGGUCUGCCGCACGCCUCAACUCUCUCGGUCAACAACUUCCACCGAAAACCCCAUUGUUGACCCAGUCGCUCUUCCUCAACGCUACGAUGCAGCACCUUCAACAUCUACCGGAUUUCUAUGCCACGCGUGAGUCAACAAGCUGAAGCAAAGUCGGUUUCUCCAGCUCUUUGCCCGUGCAUCGCCUAGCAACUUCCUCCACGCGGCCAACACUCAACUGUUCCUCGAGUCUUCUGUGUGUGAAGUCAACCAGCAGCUCCGUGAUCUCUCUCUCCUUUCGCUCGUCUGCCCCUCUCAGUCGAAGACGCCAGCUGCCACUUGCCACCUUGCUGCUUCCUCUGAGUCAACCGAAGCUACCAACGUCAACCGCCCCCAUCUCCUUCGUUCCCCAGUGAAGCCCACAUCUCUCUCUCGCUGUCCCCACGCUGGUCAACGAACCAGCUACUUCUCCCCAUCUUUGACCGCAACACCCCCCAGCGAACGCCAGCAUCUGCUUCCGCCAUCUUCGAUUCUCUUGCCCAGCUUGCUGUCUCCAUCUGGCCGUGUGAAUUGCACGAAGGAAGCCCGUAAUUUCCUGCAGUCUUCGGCCCGCGCGUCUUCUGCAGCAACUUCAGCCCAUUGGAUUUCAAGCCCAGCGAAAUUUGUUGGUUCAUGAGUUCCGCGGAGCCAAAGCCCAGCCCAAGCAAUCGGCCCACAAGUCAGCAAUAGUUCGGCCCAGCUCAUUUAGUCUCGUAGGCCCAGUGAAUUGAGCCCAAUUUUAGCUCACUUGAAGCUCAAGAAGACAGCCCAUGAUCCAACUUUGCUUGGCCCAUCUUCAGGAGUCUUCAGCCCGUUGUCAGUUUAUUAGCUCAGCCCAAGAAUUCCAGCAGACCCAAGCCCAGAUAUUUCUGUGGGCUUGUAAAGUUUCUUGGCCCGGCCUGAGGGUGCAUCGAAGUCGCCGAAAUUUUGGAAUUCGGCCGCCGUUGCGUCGUCAUCGCAGUAUUCUGAUCUUCGCUUUGCCAAGUCCGUAGAGGGACCGGAGGAGGAUUAUCUGUUGGAUGACCCUGAUGACGAGCCAACAGAGGAUGAAAAGCUUGAAGAAAAUGAGCUUAGUGAAGAAGAGUCUCAAGAGGAUUGGGAUGAUGAUCCCGAGUAUGACCCGGAUGAGGACUGAGACCCCAUCCCGUUAUGUUAACCUUGUGUACUUGUGGAUAGGUGUUAGAUUAGGCCUAUGUUAAUAGUAUUGUAAGAUACUAUGAUGUGUGUGUGUAUAAAAGUGUGGUUGUGAAUUUCAAU